UCUGAUUGUUUAUGUUUAAAAUUCUCUUUGGAAAAGUUUUGCAAAAGGAGAAAAAAGAAAAAAAAAAGAGAAAAGAAAGGGAGAGAGACGCCGGCUCUCGGCCUGAUGGCCCAAUCGGCCGAGGCCCAAUCUUCCCACCCCCGCGCACGCUUUUCCCCUUCUCCCCUCACUCGGCCCACUCCCGCUCCCAGGCCCAGCACGCGCAUAGCCCAGCUCAGGCCCGCAGCACGCCUUCCUCUAUUCUUUCUCUGUUUCGCUGACAAUCGGGGCCCGCGUGGCAGCGUCCUGUUCUUCUUCCCCGCGUAUCCGACCGGGACUUUCCCCUCCGACGCCG
rnacentral:lncRNA from 1 species